rnacentral:rRNA from 1 species
CUUGGUCAUUUAGAGGAAGUAAAAGUCGUAACAAGGUUUCCGUAGGUGAACCUGCGGAAGGAUCAUUACCGAGUAAGGGGUCCCUAAGGGCCUCAACUCCCACCCCAUGUGUACUUACUCUGUUGCUUUGGCGGGCCCAGUGGGGCUUAGGCCCUCUGCUCCCGCUCCGGCUGGCGUGUGCCCGCCCAGGGACCCCAAAACCCUUUUAGGUCUGUGUUGUCUGAAUCGCAAAUAACUAUCGUAAAACUUUCAACAACGGAUCUCUUGGUUCUGGCAUCAAUGAAAAACGCAACGAAAUGUGAUAAGUAGAGUGAAUUGCAUAAUUCAAUGAAUCAUCGAAUCUUUGAACGCACAUUGCGCCCCUCGGUAUUCCGUGGGGCAUGCCUGUUCAAACGUCAUUAAAAACUGGUGCUCUGCUUGGUGUUGGGCGUCUGUCCGCGCCUCCGCGCGUGGACUCUCCCCAAACACAUUGGAUGACUAGGCUGAUGACCCGUCCGCAGCACAUUGCGUCGGCGAGUGCGCAGUCGGCCUUCCUGUCCUUCAACCUCUUCUUCCUCAGAUUUGACCUCGAAUCACGUAGGGAUACCCGCUGAACUUAAGCAUAUCAAUAAGCGGAGGA